rnacentral:lncRNA from 1 species
UUUGUAUUGACCUUUUGUGACUAGUGGCUUUUUUGGCUAAAUUAUGAAUGCAAUCCCAAAAUUUCUAUUUAAAAAAAAAGAAAAAAAGAUACAUAAUCUAUAAAUUUGAAAUUUGAGCUUUUUCAUAAAAGUUAAUAAUUUGGUGGGUUUAUGUCUAAAAUAAAAGAGGAACUAUUGUUUCCCAAAGACUAGAAGGCAUGAACAAAUCCAUUUACAUACCACACUUCAUGCAUGAUGUUCUAUUUCAAAAGGUGACCACAUAAAAGUUUGCUUUCAUUUUUUUAAGUCUACUUUUGGGGGGGAGGGAGUAGACGACUUUCCUCACGUUUACUGCAUUUGUUUUGUUGUAGUUUUUUUUUUUUUUUUUUUUUUUUGAGGGACAAACGGGGUCCCAGAAAUCCCCCAUGGAAGCUCUGAUAUUUACCCUUAGAAUGUUGGUGGGGGACUUCGCUGAAAUGCUCCAUAGGUCGUUCAUUUGUUCUGUUUUUGCCUGCAACUUCCCGUCGUUUGCAUUUGAGUUAAAAGAAGAUGUUGCCGUUUGAAACUGUGCGUUUGUAUGCGAAAAAAGAUAAGUCAGCGUUUUUUAUUCUUCAACUUAAACAAUAUUGAAACUGCCUGCAACCUCUCUAUCUACUUUAUGUUUUCUAUGUUUCACUCCAAAGAAGGAAUAAGGUACAACAUACCACGGCUGUAGGAUGAUCAAAAUUUUGUGAAAUAUAGAUAAAUGCACAAUUUAUAAAUGUAGAAAUUUGAAAUCCAGAGUAACGGAUAUGUUAAGAGGGUCUAAAGUUUUAUUUCUUCAAAUAUAACAAAAGAAAAAAUUGAUCCAUAAUUUAUAAUUAAAUAGUUAAAAAUAUUUAUCUCUCAGUUAGAAGUCUCAUAUUGAAUUUUCUCUUCCCAAUAUCAUUUGUAUAAAUAAAUAAACGAAGCUUGUAAAGUAAGAAAAUAAGCCACUAAUUUAAUAUUGCCAACCAUUAGCUAAUUUAGAGGCAACAACAACUACUCCAACAACAUCCAUCUUUACAAAUUUAAUAAUGCCAACCAGUAGUUAUAAAGUUAUGUCAUGUGAACCCUAUUGUUGACCCAAAAAAGUUCUUCGAAACUUUGUCAGAAAACUUUGGUCUUUGUUCUUUUAUGAAGAUCACAUAAAAUAAACAGCAAGCAAGUGAUUUAUAUUCUCAACGGCCCUUUAUGCAAGAGGAGGACCACCUUUUGAAGGGCUUCAAAGUUGAAACUUGAAAGGUACCACAUAUAUAGAAUAAUAUAUUAUAUAUGGCUAUUAUAUAUGUAGGGUACCUUAAAUUUUGGGCACUUUUUAUAUGUCACCUUUUUUUUUUUUUUUUGGGUUACAAAAUGUUUAGGGAUAAGGGAAGUUAGGAUGGAGAUACUAAGGCCUUUUUGAGGAUUUAUAGAGAGAUUCUUAACCUAUUUUUUAGUGUUUACAAAUUACUCACCAAGAUGGAUUGUCGGCAUCAAGAAUGGAACUUAGGCCUUAUAUGUCACCUUUUUAUUAUAUGUGACGUUGUGCUUUACUUUUGGAAUGUCAACAUGACAAUAACAAGUGCUCUAAUUUCUAAAGUGGAAGCAUUUGUCAGUUAAUUCAGCAUAUUGUGGGCUUUUGUUUUUGGAAAGAAGAAAAUGAAAUUAGGCCCAAAGAGAAAAUUGGCAUUUUAUUCAACAGAAGUUAGGCCCAAUCACUUAUUAGAGCAUCUCUACCCAUAAGGGCUAAGGCAAGGGCAAGGGCAAGUAAGGGCUGCCACAAUUCAUGUGAAUAGUGGCAGCCUUGUCUUUUUUGGUUCCACCCCAAAAGGCUAGGGCAAGGGCAAGAAAAAAAAAAAAAAGAAUAUGCAACAAAAUAUAAAUUUGUUAUGUAUUUAUAGGAAAAGUGAAUAAAAUUGUUAUGUAUUUAUAGGGAAAACAUCCAUAAUUUUUUGGUAUUUUUUUUUAAAAAAAAUUUGAUUUUUUUUCCUUUUUUUUCAAUUUUUUUGACUCGCUGACGUCAGCGUGACAUCACCACUGACAUCAGCGCCCUAGGGCUGAAGCCCAGGCAAAAUCUGCCCUUGGGCUUGCCCAGGCUGGUGGGACUCAGGGCUUGCCCGGGCUGCAGGUCGUGCGCUGGAGGGUCUUUUGGGCUGGCAGGGGGCCUUUUGCCCAGGUUGGUGGCAUGCGCUGGACAUGCUCUUAGGACAAAUAAGAGCCUAGAAGCCCAGAACCCUAGGCCCGCCUAAGACUCGCCUGCCUAUGCCUUUCUUUUUUUAAGAUUUAAUUGAUGCACUCCCUAAUUUCAUUUUAUACUUAAUCAAAAUAAUGUAAUAUGUAUGAUAAACUAAUAAACUUCUUGUUUUUUUUACACAUGUUAUAAAUUAAGUUAAUUUUUUCAAUGUUAUACACUAUAUCUUUUAGUGCCCCUUUUUUGUCAAGUUCAAAUUUAAUCGUGCAAUAAAGAAUUUGGAAGAUUUUUUGGUACUAAUUCUAAUGACACAAAUUACUUCAAUUUUCAUGAUGUCAAUCCUAAUUUAGGAUAGAAGCAACACAUUUUCAUAACCUCCUUCCCCUCCAGCCAAAAGAUACCCACCAAAUUUGUCUCCCUUAGCACCCAUCGGAAGCCUCCCACCAUCAUUGCACCAGACCAAGCACCAUCCAAUUAAUUUUCACGUAAUCCUCUUUGGGCUUUUGUCAUCUAGCUGGCCGCUACGCUCCAUGCUGCCUAGCCUCCCCAAGAGAGCCCUUCUUCAUAGGCAAGAGGUACUCCCCUUGUGGUACUUAUAGUCAUUGGCUACUAAUAAUAUGUGUUGGUUUGCAAGGCAUUGCGAAUAUGUUUGAGUUGAAAUUAGUCCUAGAUUGAAAAAUUAGAGUUCCUUAGAGGUCUUUAUAAUACUUAGUCUUGAAAAUUCUCUAAACAAAC